AUCUACAGCCAUACCACCCUGAACACACCUGAUCUCGUCUGAUCUCAGAAGCUAAGCAGGGUCGGACCUGAUUAAUACUUGGAUGGGAGACCCCCUGGGAAUACCGGGUGAUGUAGGCU
ensembl:rRNA 5S_rRNA 5S ribosomal RNA